AAUAUUUCACAAUGGAGGAAACUCUGAUGCAGCGACGCCGCGUGAGCGAUGAAGGUUUUCGGAUCGUAAAGCUCUGUCCUAGGGGACGAUAAUGACGGUACCCUAGGAGGAAGCCCCGGCUAACAACUUGCCAGAAGCCGCGGUAAUACGUAGGGGGCGAGCGUUGUCCGGAUUUAUUGGGCGUAAAGGGUACGCAGGCGGCCAUGUAAGUCAGAUGUGAAAGAUCACGGCUCAACCGUGGUAAGCAUUUGAAACUGCUUGGCUUGAGUUAAGGAGAGGAAAGUGGAAUUCCUGGUGUAGCGGUGAAAUGCGUAGAUAUCAGGAGGAAUAUCAGUGGCGAAGGCGACUUUCUAGACUUAUACUGACGCUGAGGUACGAAAGCGCGGGGAGCAAACAG
rnacentral:rRNA from 1 species